UCCACGCCCUAAACGAUGAGUGCUAGAUGUAAGAGGUAUCGACCCCUCUUGUGUCGUCGCUAACGCAUUAAGCACUCCGCCUGGGGAGUACGGCCGCAAGGUUGAAACUCAAAGGAAUUGACGGGGGCCCGCACAAGCGGUGGAGCAUGUGGAUUAAUUCGUCACUAACCGAAGAACCUUACCCAGGUUUGACAUCCUAGGAACCCUGAUGAAAGUUGGG
rnacentral:rRNA from 1 species